AUUGAACGCUGGCGGCAGGCCUAACACAUGCAAGUCGAGCGGAUGAAGGGAGCUUGCUCCUGGAUUCAGCGGCGGACGGGUGAGUAAUGCCUAGGAAUCUGCCUGGUAGUGGGGGAUAACGUCCGGAAACGGGCGCUGAUACCGCAUACGUCCUGAGGGAGAAAGUGGGGGAUCUUCGGACCUCACGCGAUCAGAUGAGCCUAGGUCGGAUUAGCUAGUUGGUGGGGUAAAGGCCUACCAAGGCGACGAUCCGUAACUGGUCUGAGAGGAUGAUCAGUCACACUGGAACUGAGACACGGUCCAGACUCCUACGGGAGGCAGCAGUGGGGAAUAUUGGACAAUGGGCGAAAGCCUGAUCCAGCCAUGCCGCGUGUGUGAAGAAGGUCUUCGGAUUGUAAAGCACUUUAAGUUGGGAGGAAGGGCAGUAAGUUAAUACCUUGCUGUUUUGACGUUACCAACAGAAUAAGCACCGGCUAACUUCGUG
rnacentral:rRNA from 1 species